CAUUUAUUUGCAUCACUAUAUAAAUAAACUUAGACACAAAGAAAAAUUGAGUGAAAUAAAUUUGUAAUAUAGUUUUCUAAACCCCAAAAUGGCUAUGAAUGGAGAACAAAAGUCAGUGCCACAUGAUUUAGAUGAGAAGAAAUCACACCCUAAUUCAGAUCAUGUGAAGACUAAGUGUUGUACUCGUACAAAAAAGAAAGGGGAUAGAGGCUUCAUUGAAGGAUGUCUCUUUGCUCUAUGCUGCUGUUGGUUAUGUGAUGCUUGCUUUGAUGUCACUGUCGUCGCCGGAUAAAGGUUGCGAAAAAUCGGGUGGUUUGAUGCUUCUUUCAGAGUGAAAAAACCAUGUAGUUACUACCUAAUUUUCUGUAUUUUGGUUUGAAUAAUCGUAUUGUAUUGUAUCAUGUUGUAGCAUUAUUAGCCUGGUUUAUUUUCUUUAAGAAGUUCAUACAUGUUACUAUUUUUGAUUUAAGGAAUUUGGAAUUGAAAUAUGUACUAAUGUCAAAAAAAACCUUUACAAAGUUU